rnacentral:lncRNA from 1 species
GUUGCCAUGAAAUAUGUAUUUCAUGCAAGCUUUGGAGAGGUUACACGACCCUUUCCCUUGGCUUUCUGGGAGUUUCCUGUGGAAUUCACAUGUGCCCAAGGAAGAACUUUCACCAGGGGGGGGGGGAAUUUAAUAAAUGUGGUUUAUCUAAGCUUCGUGCUCUCCACUAACUUUGCACUAAUGACUCAGGCAUUUUGCUCCUCAGAGACCGUCAUUUUUCUUUAUUUGCUCCAGCAGUGAGGUUUCAGCCUCAGGGAGAGAAUGUCGGGGACAGAGAUGCAGACAUUCUUUUAUUUCUGAGAUUCUUUUGAAUUCCCUUGGAACAUUUGAUUCCUUUGCUUAACCUCCUUUCAGUCGCGGAGGAUUAUUUCUUAUUGCAGCAGAACCCAUUCAUAACUCUAAUUUCAAAAGGCAAGACAAAGGCUCAGCAACCUCUCAUAUAAAGGGUAAUUGUGUGUGUCUUGGGAAAAGGGAAAUAAAAAUAGUAAUGACAACAGCUAUCAUUUAUUGAGCACUUGCUAUGAACCAGGAUCUGUUCUGAGCUUUACACACACAGAGGAUUUUACUAAAUCCUCACAACAUCCCUAUCAGGAAGGUUGUUACUAUCAAUCUCUUGUCCAGAUGAGAGGUCUGGGCUUGGAUGAGAUAAAUGGAUAGAGGUCAUAAAGCUUAUCAUUGGUAAGAGGCAGGUCUAAUUUUAAACUCAUUUGCAUAAUGACCUCCACCAAAAUGAAGCUAUCCUUGCCCCACUUUAUCACCGAUAUUCUUGAGAAUGGAAUCGCCAAAUAGUAGCCAAUUCUUGGUAUCACAUUCAGGUGAGAGUGUCAUUUAUAAAACAGUCUCCACAUAUCUGCGCUUUGGCAUAUAGCAGUCUCCAGGAGUUGCCCCACUCCUGGCUAGAACUGUUUCAGGACUAGAAGGAACAGUCACCCAAGCUAAAAGUCAUAUGUCCUAGCAGUUGGAAGAUUCUUCUAAAAUCCUACUCCUCGCAGUCCGGUCUGGUAAGGCUCACAGCUUCUCUGAGGCACACAACCAAACGCCCACAGCUGGGUGAGGCAGUGAGGCGGCAGCCCUGCUUCGGCUUCCCCUCCAUGACGGGACUAAAAAUAGGUGUGUCUGACAGCCCGUUCCCAGCCUGGCACCCCGUCAGUCCCCUCAGCCACAAGCAGCAAAAGGAAGGGUUGUUUCGAAAGACUUUCUCAGCCUCAAACACAUGUGCCGAGCUUACGGUAUCCUUUGUGAAAGCAGAUCCGAGCCUUAGUUCUGAUGGCGUUUUAAAAUUUCCCCAGGAGAAUCAUGACAAGAAUUCCUCAAAUGCUUACAUUUUAUAAAAUAAAAAC